rnacentral:rRNA from 1 species
UACGAAGGGGGCUAGCGUUGCUCGGAUUUACUGGGCGUAAAGGGCGCGUAGGCGGACAGUUUAGUCAGAGGUGAAAGCCCAGGGCUCAACCUUGGAAUUGCCUUUGAUACUGGCUGUCUUGAGUACGGGAGAGGUGAGUGGAACUCCGAGUGUAGAGGUGAAAUUCGUAGAUAUUCGGAAGAACACCAGUGGCGAAGGCGGCUCACUGGUCCGGUACUGACGCUGAUGUGCGAAAGCGUGGGGAGCAAACAGG